ensembl:lncRNA
CUAACAUAUUGUCCGGAGCGCUGAAUAAUUACUGCAGCGUUCUCUCAGGUCUGCAGGCCGAGCUCACCUCCGGUCAGCGGCUGUGGGAACCCGGCAGAGAAAUGCCCGUUUCAAUGUGUUGCUUGGUUUGAUGCUGCUUCGUGCCGCUGCUGCAAUCUGCCAAACGAGCCCACGUUGCCUCCGCGCUGAUCGCCGUGUUUAUGCAACGUCUAUUUGUUCAAUUAUUCACUGCGUCUCCUGUCACAUUUUACUCGCCGUGGCCUUGUUUUAUUACUGUCAUAAGUGCAGUAAAACUCUUAUGUGGCAAUAAAUAAGCUCCAUAGGUAAUUUAAAUAAAACAAAAUAUAUGUGUGUAUAUAUUUUGGGGGGUCGUUGAGAAUAAAUGGAGCCCACAGGCCGAACGUAUCUACCUCCGACCCGUCUAUUGCUCUGACAACAAUCUGCCCUUCAGUCAAGGACUUUACUCUUAUUUACAGCGUUCACGUCUGGCAGACUGGUAAAAACAACACGCAAUAUAGAACGAAUUACGGUACCGUUGUGAUAAACGGGUUGUUUUUUUUGUUUGUUUCUAACCAGAUUCCGAUUUGUCAUCAGACACGACAGGAUGGAACCAUAGAAAAAAGCGUAUCAAUAAAUAUAACAGAAAAACAUUGUAGAAAAAUAACGUUAUUUAAAAGUUUGCACUAAAAAUCCGUUUAAAGAAACUCAUUUGUAACCCGGUGCAGAUAUUUGCUCGUUGUUCUCUUGGAGGUUAUGAAGGCCUUUCUGGAGGAGCAGUAACGGGGCGAUCACUUUAAAGGUGCUACAUGAAAUCAGUGAACACACUCAAUCACCAUGAAAUAGCAACUUUGGAUCGUUUCCCCCCCGACGUGUUUGUGACAACUUACAACCUUCUGAUGAACAUCUGAGUUUUCUCAAAGAGAAACGUAAAUAGUCUGCAGGGAUCACUCCGCGCUCACACAUGCAACAAUUUAUACUUGUGUACCUUUGCGUCAGCCUGUCAUAGCUGAAACUGAGCUGUUUAUGAAACUGCACUCUACUUGGUGCCCCCCCCCGGCCCCCCGUUACCAACCACACACACAUGGAUGCAAACGUGUCUUCUGGCCAUGAAAAAGCUGUCUGUACUCAUUUGUAGUCUCCGGCCCGAGGACGAAUCAGAUCACCGCGUUGGCGGCUGCCGCCCCCGCCUGCUCAUCGAAGCCCCCAAACCUCCCCACCCCCUCUCCCCAGCUCGUGGCUACUGGCCCAGCCGGGGCCCAGGUAGUGCCGGGGGGGGGGGGGGGGCUCAUUCGGCAGCCUGCAGAUGCUGCUCCUGCUCGGACUCUGCGUCCCCCAAACGUCUCCCCGGUGCCGGGGGACCAGACGCAUUACUGUGGGGGGGGGGUGACAUUAAAACUACCAGAGAGGACAGAAGGCCCUGAACUCACCACGCAACCCCCCCUGGGUAGGAAUCAAGAGUAAAUACAGCGCAUCACGCUAAGAGCCGCCGAGCCGACCGGCAGCCGCUAACGUGGACGCCGCUAACGUUGAGGUCGCUAACGUGGAGGUCGCUAACGUGGAUGCCGCUAACGUGGAGACCGCUAACAUUGAGGCCGCUAACGUGGAGGCCGCUAACGUUGAGGUCGCUAACGUGGACGUCGCUAACGUAGAUGCCGCUAACGUGGAUGCCGCUAACGUCGAGGCGGGUUCAAAGCGGACGGGAGCCGGUGCACCUUGUGAAUGGACGGAAUUCAUUUCAUGCUAAUGACCAUAAUCCACAGCGGACGAGAGACGAGGCAAAACAACUGCAUCGGCCUCUUAAUGCGAUCAGUCGCCACGAUCGUCUCCCCGAUAACGGUUCAUCAAACGAGGGCCGAGUCAUUAAUAAAAGAACACAGUCAAAGCACCUUGGGGAUCUCCUUUUGCUCCCUCGCCCCGCUCUCCAACCGACUUAUCAUUAAAGCAAGUAAGAAGCUAUAUCUGAAUGAAAUCUCAUUGUUGGCUUUCGAGAUGUGAAUAAAAUUCCAUUUCAAAUUAGGCGUCAUUAGCAUCACUGAGAGACGGGAGAUUCGGGUGACCUUUUCGUUCCGGGUGUCUGGAUCUUGGAAGUUUUUCUCCUCUCCCUCGUUUGCAGAAGUGAAGGGAAGGUUUUCUCUCUUUGCUUCCACUCACAAGUUUGACCUCCAAAUGCAGACAUCCUGCUUUUGACAUAAGUGGGUUUUACCUCCUUUUGAAACAAAAGCUAUGCUAAUCCACCAGGCCCUUGUUCAUCACCUGUCAAUCUUCUUUCUCUUUGCAACUCUUGUUGCAUAGUUCCCUUAGUUGUUAUUGUCGUGGUGCCUCUUUUUAACGGGGCAUUUGUUUGGAUGUUAGCCAGGCGGAGACGGUCUGAUGAAAUAUUCUGAGCUGCAUUACUGGGAUUAUAGAUCGUGGGAAGGUCCUCUUUGUCCUCAUUGGGGGGCUCGUUGUUAUUUAAAUGCAUGUAGGAUGUUUGAGUUAACUAUGUAAUGUUAUUGGUUCAAACCGACUUGCUGGAUUGACACGGGUCAGAAGGAGCAAUGAGGGAAAAGAGCGGGGGGGGUCAGAGGUCAGACCAAUAAACCAACAACGCAUCGAUUUCCCGCUCUGCCUUGCGAGCAAACCUGCUCUCCUCCAUCAAGACCCCCGUCCCCCCCCCCCCACGACGGAUCCCACGUGGACAACCUGAAUUUACAUCACGUGACGCGGCCCGAACGCCGUGCACGUCCCACAUUAAACCAGGUGGCCUGGUUCCUCUGUAAUUCCACCAUCAUCAAGUGCUGAGCGUUCUUCUUCUCCUCUAUUUUCCUCCCACAGUGAACGCUUUCUCCCCCCUGUGUUUUUAAUCCCUUCGCGCCCUAAUUGGCCUCUUUCCUGCAAAGUGAGUUCAACCUGCGAGCAGAUGAAACGGGCGCCGGGCCGCUCCGUGUUCCCAAGCAUGAAGCGAGCGGGUUUUUCAGCUGGUUUCCAAGCUUCUGCAAUUAAAAGGCUCCACGACGGGUGAAGCGGCUCCCCCGAAGAACCGCUUCACCCGCGCUGCGCCUGGAGACGAGGCUCCGCCGGCCGCUCUCAGGCCGCGACGUGCGUGACCGCCGCCCACGAGGGAGGUUGGGCCCUGACCGGGGAGAACGUCCCCCCCGCAAGAUGCACCAGCCUGUUGGUAAUUAUAGAAAUAGUCCCUCGUGCAUCGAGGCCUGAUAUUAAAAUGGAUUGGGGGAAAUAAACGGUUUGUUCUACGGGGAAAUACUUUAUAGAUAUCAUGUAGAUGUUUAGUAGCACUACGUUUAAUUGAACGAGACGUCAUACAAUAAUCAGCUAACACAAUAACAACGAAGGCCAAACAUUAUCUGAUGCACAUGGAAGUCAAACGUUGGCAGGACACGUUGAGGCGGCUCCAGAUGAGCCGCACACGAUGCGCUUUGGAAGCCUGUUUGUUGCUUCCGUGUUUGUUCGCUGCGCCGUGUUGAACUGGAAAUCUCUACCAGCAACUUAGAAUCCGGAUUGUUUAGCCACGCGUCUUGGCAGAGCUCCUCCAGUGCCGUAACAUCCGCGUUCGUUUAUUCGUUUGUUUGUCUGUUUACGUUUUACGUUUGCUUAUUUAUCCAUCUCUUUAUUUUUUAAUGAGUUGAAAAUCCACCAGAGGAUCCGGGCCAUGAAAGUUUAAAACGUGUACAGUAGCAGUGAGGGGAAAAUAUUUACAUUGAAGCUGGCCACAAUCUCAGAAGAUCCUCAAAUGUGGGUUAGAGCUGCAAAGGGAAAAUGCAAAUGUCCUUUUCUGCCGGGAUUCACAAACAAGCGGCGUCCUGAUUGAUUCAACAAACGGCUUUUAUCUCUCAAAGUGUUAAUUAGCACAGACGGGCUUCGCUUUCUGUGGCACGUUGCAGCUUUUCUGACAAAGACAAACUUCCUGUCCCCCCCGAACCCUCUGCGGGACGCUGAGGUCCAGAGAGCCGGUGGUCCGACCACACGGGGUCACCAGGGGUCACCAGGGGUCACCGCGCGUCUUUGAGGUUCCGGUUGAGCUUUGUGAUUUAAAUACGACAUAAAAAAGGCCUCACAGGUUUCUAGCGGGCGAUGCACCGGCGACCCGUCUCCACCAGCUGGUUCUGGUUCUACAGGUGGAGACCGCCGACGUGGCACAGGUGUGUGUGUGUGUGUGUGUGUGUGUGAGAGAAAAGAAGGAUUCCCCUCCAGACGGGGGAACCACGAGGAGAACCAGCGGAGCCGCUGGGGCCCCCGAGGAAAAGCCCCGGACGCCUGCGAACGCGUCCUCUGGUUCCCGCUCGCGUCUCGUUGGCGUCCCGGAGUUUUGAUCUCAUCCAGUCGGACACUUUGAGGGAAUAUUUUGCUCCCCGCCAUCCCAAAGCAAUCUGAAUAAUUUCCAUCUGCAUAUUUUAAGUCUCAAUCUAUCUUUGAUGUCUUAUUUGUGUGAUUAUGUCUCCCUGCUUGCAAAAAAACCCCAGCCAAUGCACCAACUGUCAACCACUCGUGGCACUUUCCCCCCCUUCCUCCCCCCUUCCUCCCCCCUUCUUCCCCGCGCACGGUUGGGACUGCUUUUGAUUUCUGAUUUUCCUUCUCUCUUUUUUUUCGGGUGGGAUCAAAGCAGAACUCCCUCAUGCUCCGCUCGGAGUAAACAAAAUGGACGAGACGGAGAAAGUUUGAAAGCUCGUGGACGCGCGUCCUGCCGAAUCUCCGGCGUCUUUAAACCCGUUAAGAAUGGCGCUUUUUUUUUUUUUUCACGGGGGCGGGCGGCCAUCUUAACCUGGGCAAUUAAAACGGAGACAAAGCGCGGAGGCUGCAGAACGCCGGCGACAGCGGCCGCGCCACCUCUAAUUAUUGACCGGCCCCCGGCUCCACUUCAUUACUCUCCUUCCUGCGGUAAUUUGUAUCGGCCCGACACUCGUCAUCUUUCCCUGGUAACCUUUAAUUCAUCUGCUGUUUGCACUUCUGUCUGCUGAAGUCGGGCUGCGGCGGGCCGGCCGUCCGCACGCAGAGAAGCUGUAAAUUGGUGGUGAGGAAACCGCCGAGCUUUACAAAUAAGACACGAGAUGCUUGAGCGCUUUAUUCUCCCUUUCGUUCAGUCGCUGCUCAGAAGAGAUGCAAAGUCGUGGAUGUUGGACGAGUGAUGAUUCAACGCUGCGUCCUUUGUCUUUCGUCCUCUCCUUCCUCUCUCAACCUCGUUCUCGUUGGCCUCCCGCUCUUCAUACCCGCGUGCCUUCUUGACCCCUCGUGCCCUUUUCUCGCUCGUCACUUCUCUGAGUCACACGCCGGGCUUCACGAGGAGGCGCCGACUCCGUGCAUCUGCUAAGCUCCUCCCACCUGCUUCCCCCGCGAGGCGCAAAACAAACGCCAGGGAUUAUUGCCUCUCACAUGUGACCCGGGCGCCGCGCGUCCACGCGGCACCUUGAUCCCUCCCCGAGUCGCUCCAAGCUGUGCAAACACACGCCAGCGGCAUCCGAGCGUCCCGACCCGACAUCAAAGCGCCCGCCGGGAUUCCUGCAGGUUGUUUCAGAGGCCGGAGCCACGGGGAAGAAGCAGCGCUUCUUAUUUCAACAUAAGACGGAGGGCCGAUCGGACGCCUCUGGGUCCGGUACCACGACAAGUGUGUAUAAAUAUAUAUAUACGCAUACAAACCCGGGACCAGUCCAGUUAUUCAAUGCUUUGCUCUGUUUUAUUAAUAUUGAAGACCUGCAAACUGACACAAUUCAUGAGUUGAACGAACCAGAAUGUCUCUGAUAUUCUAUAUUCUUUUGUUCCUUCAUCCCGAGCAUCUCGAUGGGGUUCAUGCGGGGUGACCAGGUCACGUGACGCAGCACCCCGUCACUCUCCUCCCCCUCCGUCGAACAGACGCCGUCUUUGUGUGUCUCCUUUCCGCCCGGGAAAAAGAACCAAAAAGUAUUUUUUAAGAGUAAACUCUUUUUGCUCUGAGGCAGAAGAGGAGUAAACUCUCGCCGCCUGCACAAACAGAAGCGCACUUUACGCAGACACACACGAGUGAAUGCCACUCUGUGUGUCUCUGUACACACAAACCACUUGCUAAUCACGCGGCGGGCACAUGGCAACAAACCGUCGGAUGAUAAUGAUGCAAUCCCCGUGUCAACCGGCCCCUCGAGUGGAGAGCGGGGGGAACAAAACAGUGGCUGCAAAGAAGAGGUGUGUCUCUCCGUAUGAAAAUCCAAUGCAAAUAGGCUUCCACCCCCGUGGUACUUGAACUGUUUUCUCUUUGAUAACCCAAUUAUUGUCUCAAGAGCUGUGUCAAUUGCUCUAGCGAUCUCUUCUUGAACAAAUCACUCCCCUAACCUCGAGCACUUUCGAUUUGAUUCUGCCAUUUUUUGCCAGUUCAAAGUAAUCAGAGGAGGCCUCGGCUGAGGACGGGGAUUGAUUUUGUGUUCUCGCUUAUCAUGCUAAUUCCCUGAAAAUCAGCCUUUUUCAUCCCCCUCCGCCUGAUUACCACUCUUGGAAAAAAGGCCCCUGAACUGGGUCCCGCUCCCCCGGUGCCGCUGUCGUCGCGCAUCCCCCACAAUCCUCUGUUCUCGUCCCCUCUGCGGCUCGCGGCCGGCCCGGGCCCCCGACUCCACUCACUUCUCCUCCCGUUCCUCAGCUUCCGCCGGUGGGCGGGCUCUGCUUCAGACGCUGGUCGUCGCUGCGCGCCGGCACCUCAGGAAGAUCACGUUACGAGAUCCUGAUUAAAGCACCGGCAUGUUACAUAUUGCACACAAUGCCAUUAAUUACGUCUUCGAUGGGAGCUUGUUUGUUAUGAUGAUGCACGCCGCUUUGUUGCUCCGCCCGGUUUGGAUGGAAACUUCUUCAUUUGUUGAUGCGACAUUCAGGGGCUCACCUUUCCUCCUUCUUUUAGAGCAGCUCUUUGCCAGUUUUAAGAAGUAAAUAAUUGCUGGUGGAACUUGUUAUCUCAAAUUAAAUCAUUAAAAAUGCAGAUUUAGGUGGGAAUAAUGAAUCCCAGGGGGGGGGGGUCUGAAUGGUUUUGUGCUUAAUUGAAGUUUACACACGGCUGUGAUGCCACGUCCCGUUUUCUGAAAAUAUUUGCCGAGCGCAUUUGUAAACAUUUAACAGCCUUAAUCAAGUCAUUAAUCAAGCAAAUUGCAAUCAUAACGUCCAAUUGUUUUCUGAUGGAUAAAUAAAUGAUAAACAGUCAUUUCUUUUAAUUGAACCCGUCUGUUUGGUAGCAGGCACCUUUGUGCCUCGUGUGCCGAAUCAAAGACAUCCUGCAGCACUAAGCUCCGGGCUUUUGUCUUGAUUAGGACUCAUUUCGGGAGGUUUGCUUGGUGCGUAAGACGAAAAGUACUGCAGCAUGAAGACUUUGACUUUGAUCGGGGCUGAGAUGGUAAAUGGAAGAUAAAUAUAGUUAGUGUACAGGAGGAGAUCAUCUUCUCUUUAGUACCCUCCCCCUGACAACGAUCGACCAAUCACGGCUCAGCAUGGCUCAUCACCAAGCUUUUGUUAAGUCCCUUUAUGCAUCAAUAUUAAAAGUAUUUCUGAAUUCCUGCGUAGCAUCACGUAGCGCGUUCGCUGCCCGUUGUUUGAGGAAGGACCAUUUUUGGGGGGUAAAUCGUCUGCGGUUGUGACCGUAAACUCUUAACGGUUCAAUACUUAAUGUGAAGGCUCGCUUAGCGGUGAGGGGAAAUCUGGGAAAACAUUGUGAGCCCUCCCCUCUAAUUUAAAGGAAAAAUUGCCUCUGAAAGUGAUUUUCCACAGGCAGCGGUUCCUCAGACUGGAGAGCAGAGCUCCAGGUCGGACUGACGGGGGGGAGAUGUUCCAUCCCAGCGAGUCUCAUUCAGCGCCGCGGCUUCCAGCUGAGAAUCAGGAAACGUCGCCGCGUCCGCCAGUUGUUUUCCGUCAUUCAGCUCCAGGAGCUGUCCGAAGGCGACGUCACCGCCGAGCAGCUGAUUCACCUUCUCUAAUUAGAAGAGAGGAGGACGGCCGCGUUCCUCACGCGCAGCAGAUCCUCCAUGUGGUGCGAGCCGUGGAUCCGCGGGACUCAGGGGCGUGCAGAGUGGCGUGUAUAGUUCACGGAGGGUCGAUGCCGGCCGACCCGGAUCCCCUUCAGAGGCAAACGCUCGCCCUUAGCUUUGCUGUGUUUUGGGGGCACGAGAUGAUAAAUAACGGAAGUCCUGUCAGCAGAGCGCGCGUGACCUCCAGGCGGGAUGCGGCCUGCUGAUCUGCAUCCUCCACGCGGCCUUUACCAGAGUUGUCCCACUUUUCAACGUGGCGCUGUGGGGGGGGGGGGGGGGACGAGGCCCGCUGACCCGCGGCUAACGGAAUCACUCUCACCUAGCGCCCGCCGCUGUCCCACUGCGUUUGCACGCGGGUUUCUUUUUGUUGAACCAAUUAAAAGCUGCCUACUCGAGGGUUGUCUGCUUUUCCUCCGUUUCACUGUGAUUUGUGAGAAACGUCAUUACCGAACUUGCUGCAGAGAGAAAGUGACGAAAGUGAGUUUUGCAUUGAUGAAGAAGAAACAAAACAGUUCUUUUCUUUUUAAAGUUUUGGAGGCAUCUCGCGUGUCUUGUCUGCUCAUUUCCACGCAGACGAUAUUCUGAGACCUGAACCGCCUCAGAGCAAGUUUGGGACUUUUCCUGCAGCCGGACGGCCACAGAUUUCCUCGGCCAUCCGUCACGUGGCCGCGCCUCAUUUCUGCACGUCUGCUCUUCUGAUCAGAUCCCGCUGACGUCGAUGGGUCGCACAAACACGCGGGACGGAUGCAGGAAGAGCCUCCAUCUAACCUCCAUCAAACCUCCAUCUAACCUCCAUCAAACCUCCAUCAAACCUCCCGUAUUCUACCGGCUCCUUUUUACCGACGCACAUAUUUUAACAGGGCACGUGGAGCGCGAUUAUUUGCCCACUUGUCACUCGUGCUGCAGGAGAGCCCCCCCCCCUCCCCCCCCCUCAAGUGAUUGGACGCUGAAAUGCGCACUGACGUCUGUUCCUCGCCUCCACCAACAGUCGUUCCUUAACUGAUUUCCCGCCCAGACUCGGCUCGAGUGCCAGCAGUCACUUCUUGUCAGGGCAUGAAGCGGUAACGCUGAGAAACACCGGGGGGGGUGAGGGGGGGCACGGGGAAAAACAAUUUCUAAUCUCACACCUCCACUUACUUGUGAUGAGCCCUGAAGCGGCGCUGAAUGAAUGCCAGACCUGGAUACCUCAGGAAGUGGCAGAAAGUGGAGCUGUUGUCGGUUCUGAGUCACUCGUCUUCACAGGUGCCUCCGAGAUGCUCCCCCCCCCCCCCCCCCCCCAAACGCGGCCGCGUUCCCUCAAAAUAAAACCCCCGUUUUCCCUUCAUCCGCCGCGGCGCGGUGACAGCGAGGUGACUGACAGCCACUGUGCCAUUUAACCGCCGUGACCUUCCUCACAUGUCGCCGCCCCGCUGAAAAGGUCGCCCUCGUUGCACUAAUGAGUCGUCUGAUUUCCGGAGCGCCGCGGCGUCUUGGGUGAGUGGAGGUCCGUGUGUUGUCAGACGGGUGGAGGAAGGUGGAGGUGCGUCGCUGACGUCGCUGGGAUUGUCAGAAUGAGCGGAUCCCAUCUUACUCCAGCUAAACGCCGCCAGGAAGCAGCAUCAACAAAAAGCUAAUGGAUUCCAGGCUGCAGGUGGACACUUAAUUACAGGAAAUUUAUUAGGCAACGUCCAUUAAUCACGCCGACAUGGAGUUAUUAGAGGGGUGCACUCGCCGCAUAACGCAGUAAUAUUAGGACGGGACGCCACCGCAAUUGGAUUGUUGUACACGGACAAGAGACCUGAACAUUGUUUAAUUUGGAUGAAUGUGGAAUUCCAACAUGUUUACACAGAAGUGCUGCUUCCUCUCCAGAGACGCCAACACAACUCGCUCCUAUCAGCAGAAUGAUUCGACUGCUACUGAGCCCUAACGUGUGAGCACGGUGCACUUAAAGAUAUAAAUAUGAACAAAAAGCAACCUAGAUCAAGCUGCGCAAUGCAACAUUACAAGGCUACUAUUUCAAAAUAAAAGCAUACCGAGACAAUCUGCUAAUAUAAUGUUGUCUUUGCAAGAGACGCCAUGAAUGUGAAGAAGACAUUUAAAUAGAAUGCAGCACAGCUCACACUGGUUUGAGAUCCUUUGUGAUCUUCAGGGCUCCUGAAAUGGUAGCAAGUGACUAAUCCACAUCUCCCUUUCCAAGAACCUGUCUGCAUCCUCCUGAAGGAGGGACUGAGAAAUUGGCCUUAUUCCCCACACACUCGGAGGCAAGUGGCAAUUAAAGCGCUGAUUAAGGCGAGCCCGCUCUCGAACACAACUUCAUGGAGUCUGACAGAGCAGUGGGGAGACGGGGAGAUAAUUCAGAAAUCUCCUGACCUUGUGCUUAUUAUCUCCGGCUAAUGACUGCUGCCGCCGGCCUCCUGGCGGAGCAGGAACCUGGUCAACCUGCCUCCUUCCUUUGGUUCCUCUCGCCUCCGCGUGCCGACCGCGUCCUCGGGGGCGUCGGCCUAAUUUGUUUAUAAAGUGCUUUCUGUCCCAGUUUCCCUCAGAGACGUGACGUUGGAUCUGUCUCUGCUUUGUGGCGACAACCUGGAUCUGGUUUCAUGCACAUUUCAUUCAGUGGUUUUUACCCAGAAUGCUUUUCUCUGCGGGAGCCGCCCUCCAUGCAGGGUUAAUAAAUAAAGACCAUCUGAGCGCAGAGCUAUCGGGAAGCUGUCUGACUCAUUGCUAUUGAUCCAUAAUGUGAUCAAAUUCAUUAUGCUUAUUAAGUGCUGCGGGCCGGCUCGCUCUCAUGCGGCGCUCGCCCGGCGACCUCGGGGUGAAGCUCGUGCAUCCAGCCGGCCGCAGGAAGCGGCGGCGGCCUCGCCCGCCUCGGUUUGAUCUCAUAACAGAUUGAUACACCAAAUAGGAGCCGACGUGCGCUGCUAAAGAUGCCAAUGGUAAUUAAUUAGCAUCUCAUUUUGUGAGCGGCACAACAGGACGCAGAGCUUGCCUCUCCGUGCCAUUCCCCCCCAAGGCUCGGCGCUAUCAGGGUCAAAAUCCCGGCUCGGCGCUCUGAGGGCCGCUUAAUAAAUUGAGGAGGGCAAGUUGACAGUCGGGUUUUCGUGGCGCGCCCCGUCUCGCUGGUUCCCCCCCCGGCGCCCCUGGCUACGGCGAACGCUGCCGUGGAACGCGGCUCGGGACAUCAAAAGGCGCCUUGAGAUGCGUCUCGUCGGAGCUAUUAGCAUUAUUAGCAUAUUGGCGUUUCGACAUUUGGCUCGCGUGUCUGAUGGAAAAGAGGUCAAGCGCUACUCAGGAGGUGUAAUAUUUUGAAGUGGGGGGGCCCCACCUCGCCAAAAUAAGAGCUUUUCCCGCCUGGCUUUAGCGGCGUAUCGUUUCCUCAUAAACCAUGGGCGUGUUCUUUUAUUACAUCUGAAGGCCGAGUUGUUUUUCACAAAGAAUAUUGUUUCCACUUCAUAGCUGCGAGUCGUCUCUCUUCAUUCCCCGUUGCUGAGUGAAACCUGGCCGGGGGUCACAGAGUUCUCCACGUAUUACAGCUCACUAAAUGACCAUGGAAAGUUUGAACUCAGGUACGCAAAAGAAAAACAGCAGAACUGCAGUUACAGGCAUUUUCCAUGACAGCAGCAAUCUAAUCCUCUCGUUUUCUUCUUCUUCUUUUGGGGUAAGAUGUUUUUAUAAACGCCUCGGGGUUUUCGUUGCCUCAACCGCACUCUGUGUGUGUGUGUGUGUGUGUGUGUGUGUGUGUGUCCCUCUUUUUCCCCCCUUUCUUUUUUCUUUCAGCGGUGUGUGUGUGUGUGUGUGUGUGUGUGUGUGUGCAAAUAACCUACGAGCUGCAGGAAAGCUCAGAGGUGGAAAAAGAGGAGCGAUGACAAAAGACAGAAGAGCAGAACCGAUUUGUUUGAUCAAAACGUGGCUCUGGUUCGGCCCAAACGGACCCCCGCCUCAGCCCCAAUCCAGCUUCGCAUUAAUUCACAACCUCCACAAACCCGUGGAGACCCGCUGGUGCUUCAUCAUCGGCCGCUCGCGUCUGCAAAUUACACAAACGAAAACGCGGGUUGAAAUGGAGAAGACCUGUGUCAACAAACGCGCCGCGCUCCACUGUUUACCUGAAGGCUUUGCGUCUCGGGUUCACUGUUUUCGAGAAAUGUUUCUGCUUCCCGGGAUCAAGAGGAAGGAACAAAGGCUGAAACAUUUGUUGUGAAUUAAGUCUCGAGAGGACGCGGGUUGAAAGAGGAAAGGCACUUAGGCCUCGGCCCGAGGAGCGAUGGGGGUACGCUAGGUGGAUGGAAGCGCCCUGCUUCUGCCAACCGCGCCGCCACGCUCGGAUACCGGCCCUUAUUGGAUCCAGGCCUCGCAGAUUUGGCGGGGGGGGGGGGACGAGGCACGGCUCGCCCGCCCAGUCAAACCACAACAGAAGGCAUGAAAACAAACUUUCUCAGAAUAGCAGUGCUCUCCGUACUUUGGCUGCCGGUUCAAAGAUUUGUGGGGAAAUGUUUGAUCUCGGUUCAAUAAUCAGACGUUUUAGUCGGGCGACUCGGCGCUUUGCUGUCUCCAAACGGCAGCGAGAGGCAACUGCCCCGGCAUGUGCGGCCUCUCACCCCGGGCAGGUAUAACAAGCCGCGCUCGGACACCUGUCAGUCACCUCGGCUACCUGCCGGCGGCCCGGGCGCAGCCGGCACCCCGCCUGCCUUAACGCGAGCGCUCAUCUGAGACAAAUGUUCUUCCUCUAGAGCUUCUUCUAAAACCUGUUGUUAGUCACAGUUACAUUGAUGAGAAACUGCGCAGAUUAAAAUGCAUCAAUUGAAUCUCCUGCAGCCGCUCACCUGCUGGCAGCGACGGACUGAUUGGGAAUGAAAAAAGAUGCAUAAACAGUCUUGUAUUGACUUUUUGAUUAAUUAAGAAGAAAAGAAGAUACAAUAUUUACCAAAGAGCAGCUUUAAAGAGCCAGAAUCCGCGUUGCAGCUUUGGAUAUUUGAGUAAAGCGUUGAUAAUAGAAUAAAACAAACAGCGGGGCGCAGAAGGAUGUACAUCAGGAGAACAUCAAUGCAUAAUAAGCACCUGCAGUUAGCCCAGCCACUGGCAUAUCCUAAUUAAUGCGCUGUCUGUGUGUGCAGUCAGUCAGAGGAGGCUCAGCCUAAUUUGGGUGGGGGUUGGGUGGGGGUGCCGAUCAGAUCCCGGUAUAAUUGUGGGUGACUCCAGCCGCUCUCAGUCGGCGGGGUGGGACGCGGCUCAGGUCUCCAGAGAACGCUAAAAAACUGUAAAUUCCCCCUUCAUCAUGUGAACAUGUGCCCUGCAGAGCUCGCUAGUGGAACACAGACAUGGGGGGGGGGGGGGCGGGGGGGGGGGGCAGAGAGGGGAAAAAAAGUGUUUUACAUUCACAGAUGAUCCUAAUUUGGUGUGGUUUGGAGUGUAAUUUAGAUCAAACACAGCCAUGUAAAUGAGUCAGGGAUUUCAUAAUUAGGUGGAGGGUGGAGAGCGAGAGGGGAAGAGCUCGGACCACAUCAGUAGGUGUGGCGUGGAGGCCGUGCAUCCACCGAGGGGGGGGGGGGGGGGGGGGAUUAGUUUAGGAGAAAACACACACUCCCAGCGGCACACGGCAACAAAAUAGGUCACUCUGCGCCGAUUUGGCUUGUCUGUUUCCACUAAGCAACCGCCGCAGCUCCCUGUUCGGCUAGGAUGGGGGGGGGG